UACGGAGGAUGCGAGCGUUAUCCGGAUUUAUUGGGUUUAAAGGGUGCGUAGGCGGACUUAUAAGUCAGUGGUGAAAACCUGCAGCUUAACUGUAGAACUGCCGUUGAUACUGUGAGUCUUGAGUGUGGUCAAGGUAGGCGGAAUGUGUAAUGUAGCGGUGAAAUGCUUAGAUAUUACACAGAACACCGAUUGCGAAGGCAGCUUGCUGGACCAUUACUGACGCUGAGGCACGAAAGCGUGGGGAGCAAACAGG
rnacentral:rRNA from 1 species